AAUAUCUCGAAUUGAUUACAUAAACAAGCCUAAUAAUUAAAUAAUAUCUUUAGGUAUUUAAUAAUCAAAAAUAUUAUAUCAAUAAGUAUAAUAUGAAAGACAAUGUUUAUAAAUUUAACGCCUAGUUUAUAUCAUUUAUUGAGCAACAAAAUAAAUCUAAAUUAAUACAAUUUCCAGCCAUCAUUAAAGUAUUAGCUGGAGAAGAAAAUGAAUAUUCGGCUUUAACAUUAUUAAU